rnacentral:rRNA from 1 species
GCAGGAGAGGAAAGUGGAAUUCCUAGUGUUAGCGGUGAAAUGCGUAGAUAUUAGGAGGAACACCAGUAGCGAAGGCGGCUAUCUGGACUGUAACUGACACUGAGGCACGAAAGCGUGGGGAGCAAUCAGGAUUAGAUACCCUGGUAGUUCACGCUGUAAACGAUGAGUACUAGGUGUCGGGGGUUACCCCCCUCGGUGCCGCAGCUAACGCAUUAAGUAUUCCGCCUGGGGAGUACGCUCGCAAGAGUGAAACUCAAAGGAAUUGACGGGGUCCCGCACAAGUAGCGGAGCAUGUGGUUUAAUUAGAAGCAACGCGAAGAACCUUACCUAAGCUUGACAUCCUUUUGACCGAUGCGUAAUUGCAUUUUUCCCUUUGGGGACAGAAGUGACAGGUGGUGCAUGGUUGUAGUCAGCUCGUGUCGUGAGAUGUUGGGUUAAGUCCCGCAACGAGCGCAACCCUUGCCUUUAGUUGCCAGCAUUAAGUUGGGCACUCUAGAGGGACUGCCAGGGAUAACCUGGAGGAAGGUGGGGAUGACGUCAAAUCAUCAUGCCCCUUAUGUUUAGGGCUACUCACGUGAUACAAUGGGUGGUACAGAGGGCAGCCAAGUCGUGAGGCCGAGCUAAUCCCUUAAAGCCAUUCUCAGUUCGGAUUGUAGGCUGAAACUCGCCUACAUGAAGCUGGAGUUAUUAGUAAUCGCAGAUCAGAAUGCUGCGGUGAAUGCGUUCCCGGGUGUUGUACUCACCGCCCGUCACACCAUGGGAGUCGGGGGCGCCCGAAGCCAGGUCUAGCUAACCUUUUGGAA